AUUGAGCGCUGGCGGCAUGCCUUACACAUGCAAGUCGAACGGCAGCACGGGUGCUUGCACCUGGUGGCGAGUGGCGAACGGGUGAGUAAUACAUCGGAACGUACCUUAUCGUGGGGGAUAACGCAGCGAAAGCUGCGCUAAUACCGCAUACGCCCUGAGGGGGAAAGCGGGGGAUCGAAAGACCUCGCGCGAUUAGAGCGGCCGAUGCCUGAUUAGCUUGUUGGUGGGGUAAAAGCCCACCAAGGCGACGAUCAGUAGCUGGUCUGAGAGGACGAUCAGCCACACUGGGACUGAGACACGGCCCAGACUCCUACGGGAGGCAGCAGUGGGGAAUUCUGGACAAUGGGGGCAACCCUGAUCCAGCAAUGCCGCGUGAGUGAAGAAGGCCUUCGGGUUGUAAAGCUCUUUUGUCAGGGAAGAAACACCGGCUCUAACACAGUCCGGGAAUGACGGUACCUGAAGAAUAAGCACCGGCUAACUACGUGCCAGCAGCCGCGGUAA
rnacentral:rRNA from 1 species